rnacentral:sRNA from 1 species
UAUUGUGUGUCUGGAGAUAUGAAAAUGUAUGUAUAUAUACAUAUAUGUGUAUAUUUACAUGCACCUGGCACACGCUGUGGCACAACUUGCCUUUUUAAUAUCUCUUGGAGAACUCUCCCUAUCAGCACGUACAGCUCUGCCAGCUGCGUGGAAUCCCGUUGUCUGUGUGCUCCACGGUUCAUCGUUGCUUCUAGGCAUUUGGUUUGGCUCCUUCCACAGAUGCCACCGUUCACAUUUGUAGUAGACCUAAAAUUUAAUUCCUAGAUGUGGAAAUGCUGGAUCGAAAUGUGUAGGCCCUAGAGGAACUGAACUAAUUCACACUCCCACCAGAAGCAUGUAAGAAAGCUAUUUCCUCUUUCAUUGAAAAAAAAAAAGAAAGAAAGAAAAAAGAAAUUGGAGAGCCCAGGCCGCAUUUUCAUAUCUUCUGAUUGAGCAGGGAGAGGGAUGUAGGGUGACCUCAGUGUUCUUGAGAGCCUUGCAGGUCCGUCUCUAAUACGAGCUGUGGGUCAGAGAGUAAGGGUGGUUACUUGAUUAUGUCCUUUGAGAUCCAAGCAGCAAGGGAGAAACAGAAAGAUGAACGUCUUCUGAAAUUCCCAUUGAGCUGUACAUCCCAAUCCAGACAGACAUGGAAUCAAAUGAGUCUCUAUUCAUAAACAUGGUAUACUGAAGCAUCCAAAGCCAGAGAAGUGCCACCUAGGUUCUCUGCUUGGUACUCUCUCCUCGCCGUUAUAAUUUAUUUUGUCGGAAUGCUUUUCUUGUCUAGGUCAUCAAAGAAAAAGUUAUGGCCUCAGAUUCCAUAGAAGUAUUUCCUAGAUAUUAAAAGUUAGCAUUGUUUUUGUUGCGGUAGGAAAUAGCCCAGAUUGGUGCAAAAUUUGCUGGCUUCAGAAACUCAAGGUUUCUCCUUUCUCUUGCUUAGGUAACUCCAAAAGUUGAGAGACACAGAAAAAUGUCAGCCAUCUUGAGAAUCACUAGUUACUGCCUUUGUGGGCAGCCCUGUUUCAGACAAACAUCACUAGUUUUCAGUUCCUUCACCCUGUCCUUUUAGGCUGUGCCAUCUCAUUCUCUCCAGAGAGUCUCUGUCCUCUGAGCUGCUGGAAAGUCCCCUGCAGCCUGCAGCUCGCCCCCUUCCCCCCCUCCUCUCCCUGCCAGUACACACUUAACAUAUACUUAGCACACACAUAUUCAGAGACAGAUAUACACUGCUGGGGGUGGGGGGUAGGGGAGAGAGAGAGGGAGAGAGUGUGUGUGUGAGAGAGAGAGAGAGAAAGAGAGAGAAAGCCCAUUUGUCUUCACCUUAAUAGCAGAUCUUCCUUUCCUUUCCCUCCUCCUCCUCUUCCUCCUCCUCCUCCUCCUCCUUUUCUUCGUCUUCCUUUUCUUUCUCAUGGUGGGGAUUAAACCCAGAGUAUCACACAUGGCCAAUAAACUGUUCCUUUGCACUGAGUUAUAUCACCUGCACAAUUGUAUUAUGUUUUUGGAGACAGGUCCUCACUAAGCUGCCCAGGCUGGCCUUCAGCUUGUUAGCUCAACCUAGCCUCAAGCCUCUGAUGCUCCUGCCUUCAGCCUCCUGAAUAGCUGGUGGCAUAGGCAUGAGUCACCAUGCAAGGCUUCCUUUCCAUUCUGAGGAAACUGCCCCCCUCCCCCCAACUACCUUCAGGUUUCCUAGAGUUCUUUCACUUCUGUUGUGAUAAAAAAACUGUCCAAAAACAACUUCAGGAAGAAAGGGUUUAUUUAGCUUAAAAUUUCCAGUUUUAAGCCACCACUGCAGGGAAAUCAAGGCUGAAACUUAAACCAUCAAAUCCACAGCCAGGAACACAGAGAAAAGAAAUGUGUGCAUCUUCGCUCACUCCCCUGCAUUCUCCUGUCUUACAUAGUUCAGGAUCCCCUGCCAAGAGAAAUGUGCUGCCCAUGUGCAAGGUGGUCUUCCGACAUUAGUUAACAGUCAAGACAUUCCAAACACACACAGAGGCCCCGCGUACGUGUCCACAGGGCCUGAUCUAGGCAAUUCCUUAGUAAGAUUGUGGUCCCAGGUGAUUCUGGAUUAUGCCGGGUUGGGAGUAAAGUAAGCAGCAAGCUUAGCCCAUCCUUACAGUUGGUUUUCUUUGCCAUCAACUCAUUUCCAUGAUCAGGUAAGGGUUGAUUUUGAUAUGGGUUUUACGUAGGAAGUAUAAGCCCAAUAGAAUGUUAAUGUUGUCUUGGUCAACACCGACAUCGACAGACAGCGUCUUUCAACACACUGGAGUGACAAAGGGGUCUGGAGGCUGUGGGGUGCUCUUGGUCCAUGGAGAUGAGACUUCUCUGGAUGCACAGACCCAAUGGGCUUGGGCUAGAGGAGCCAAAAGGGAGCCAUAACGUUGGUGACCCAAAGGCUUGCUGGUGACUCAGUGAUGACCUUCUGUCUGUCAAGAAGCAUAUAGACCUCACCUCAUGCCCGUGAAAGAGAAGACCAGGUUUUUGUCCCAUGAAGAUUUCUGCAUAGACUGCACCACACAGAAGCCAGAUGUGUUCGGCUUGGCUAAUCUUAGUGCAAGCUGGGAAAUUUCAACUGAAAUAACACAUUUCUAAGAAAUCGUCUGGUGCGGAAUAUUAUGUAUGUAUAAGAGAGCGGCAUGCCUAUAGCACAAAGCUGGGCUACUUAUUGUAUGUACAGGAUUUGCCUGAACCCCUCUUUCCAGCAUAGUAAGUAAAAGAUUUAAUGGGCCCCCUCAUUUUUUUUCUUGCUUGCUCUACCAAUAGCUGUUAAACGGGUUUUCUGUCACACAAGACUUGAAUUUCUUUAGAAAGUCCAAGUAGACCUUUCCCCAAAUCUUGGCUUGCUCAGAAUGUAAAAGUCAGACGUGACCUCAUGACCGUUGAUUUAGGUAAAAGACGGGUGGCUUUACACUCUCUCCUUCCCUACUGCCUCAGGGACUGAUGAUGGAACUGUAGCUCUUUCGUGAUGUCCUCGCUGCUCUGAAGGAAGCACAUGCCCAGGUUGGUAUCAGUUCAUACAAGAAGACUGGCAUUGGAUAUCUGUACAAACCAGACAGUAACCUGCCCAUCACUGAGCACAAAGGCUGAAGCAUUGGAGAUUGUUCACCCUGAGAUCUUGGACACAUGGAAUCCAUUUUGUUUAGGGACCAGUUGACACAGCAGGAUUAACUCAGUUUGUCCUCUGAGAUCCACACGCCUGACUAAGCAUACCAUCUACUGAAAUCUAUACAUGUUUCAUAAUCUAUCAGAACUACCCAUAACACAUAGGUAGAGGGAGAAUGACCAUUAUUUUGUGGUAUUGUCACAGCCUACGGGGCAGAUGUUUCUGACAGUAGACCAUAGAGGCUGUGUUUACAGACCAGCGGUUUGCCAUUCCUCCAUGACUUCACUCUGUCGACCUAGAUACAAAAACAUAGAAAACAGUGGAAUAGGAUUGUCAAGACACAGGUUUAAUAGACAGUAUAAGGAUAUCUAUAUCAAGCUAGGAUUUUCAGCCCUCGAAGAUGCUCUUGUGAGCAUGCCUGAGUUUUCCCACAGAGAUGCAGGCAUCUAACAUCACAAGACACAUGGGAGAGCCCCAGCACUCCUGCCUCAUGCAGGAGCCAUGUGAGUGCUGCUUGAAGGAAAUUGUCUGGCACUAGCUGCUGGUGUUAAUGAUAUCUCUGAUAGGCUCGUGUGUCAGGACGUGGGGGUAUGGAAAGAAAGGACUCGAGAGUUAGCCUUGAUUUCAAAUAUAGCUUCUUUCAACUCACUCACUGUUUAAGCUUCUGCAAAGUACUUAAUCUGUUCAGUUGUAUUGUUUGUCUGUUUGUUUGGUUGGCUUAGGGUUUUUUUUUUUUUCCUUGAGUCAGAAUCUGGCUACUAGCCCAGACUGGCCUUAAACUCCCCCACCUUCUUGUCUCUACUUCCCAGUGUUGGGUUACAGGGCUGAACCCCCACACUCAGCCUGGACUGUUUCCCACUUGUUUAAUGGAGGCGAUAUCGUAGCCGCUUGGUUAGGAGGCAUGCCCAUUAGUGAGCAACACGGUAGUCAGGUGGAUCUCUCUUUGGUCAGUCCUAUUUAUGUUUUGUUAAAAAGCUGGUGGCCAUUUCUAAGGACACCACACUGAGGCUCCUCCUCUACCUGAGCCUAAAGGGUCCGUGUCCUUUCCCAAGAUCUCCGCUUUGACUUUCUUGUUGCUGUGCAUUCUCUUCCGGGAGAGGCCCCGAGAUCAGCACAUCUGUAACUGGUUAACGUUGCUCUUCAGAUGUCGAAAUCUACCUAUAAAACUGAGGCGCGUGUCUGUGAGGCUUCUCAUCAGGGCACAUGGUGCUGCUAGAAUGUGUUCCCUCCGCCUAUGUCCCUGUCCAUGAUGACACCUCCUAUCCAGGUAUUCACGCUAAAACUCACGAGUCUCACCCAUUCUGGUCCUCUGCUAACCCCACCUCCACGCCAUAGCCCCAGUCAUCUUCCAGAAUAGAGCCAUGCACAUGACGUUCUUGCGCUGAUCUCCCCUGCUGGCCUGCGUUUCCUGACCGGUGAAAUCCGAGCAUCUCUAACUAUUCUUUGUCCUCAGUCCACACUCCUGUUCCUCAGCUCCAGCUGUUCCCCGACUGGAAGAUGACUUCUCCAGUCUUCCUGUGUUCUGUCCUCCCUCCCCCACCCCACCCCCUUAAUCUUCAUCUUUACUCUCUGGCCAGUUUCCAGACAUGGCCUAGAACAGAUGCCGAUGCCAGCUCCCUUUGAAAAGCAUUUCCGAAUGUCCUGUACUCCCUCCGAAGAGAGAUUAACAAUCAACUUUUCAACUGCAACCUUUGGCUCUUUGGACAAAGUUCUUUCAAUCGUUUCACAGCCCGUACACGAAUCAUCUGUGGACUUACCAGCCUCCACAUCCAAACUGCAUGUUUCCAGAGUUUAGAUUUCCCACAUCUGUUCCCAGGGCCCAGUCUACAGUAGGCACCCAAUAAAAGGUUUUAAAGUAAGCGCAUACUUUUAUCAGCGAGCAUCUGUUGCGCUCCUGUAUGAGUUAUGGCUGUGGUCUUGCCUGGAAAGAUUUGCAGUCAAGUUUGAGGACUGAUAGUUACUUUAAAAGCCAAGAGUCAUUUACUAUGUAUGAUACAAAUUCCGGGUUGGGCAUCUGUUAGGUGCAAAAUGACUUAGCUAGUAUUCUGAGAGAGAUCAGUGUGCCCUCCUAUCUACUAAUGUUGACAUACUUAAGGGGAGGCAGAGGCCUGGAUCAGGGCUUGUUUGCUGGUAGGACAGAGAGUUGGGAAGAUGUGAAAGCCGAAAAGUUUGACUCGGGCAGAUUGUACCCAGCAGGAGAGGUCAUCUACCACCGACGGCCUGGGACUGAGAGGCGUUGGAAAAUUAUGGGCUGCUUUUGAUCAUAGUAAAGAUGUUCCGAUGGGAGUAAACUGGCAGUUCUGUGAAUGGAUGGGAUAGCAUGUGGCAGAAAGACCUAGUACGAACACAGCUUGGUUGUCCAAGUCUUAUGUGAACAGGCCUGCAUCUAGCCCAUGACAGGGACCCCAAGCACAAAAGAGAAACCCAGCAUUUGCUAUUCAUUACUACUAGACCUAGAAGGAGCCUUGUCUAACUUCUCAAUGUUUAAUCUCAAUAUUUCACGGGAGUGCAUCCCGAGGCUCAGGGACUCGCCCCAAGGGCUCCAUAGCUGAGAGGGUCUCUGGAGUCCAGACAACAGCGCAUUUCUCCAUUCUGCCUAAGAGUAAGUGGUUAAACUUUAAAGCCAGAGGGCAUUGAGAAAUAGUUUCAGGCAUGAGGAACCGUGCAGGAAGGGUGAAGGUCAACAGGAGGCUGGGGUUGAGCUGGGCUUGGACACAUCCAGGCUGAGAUGACAGUGAGACUAGAGGGCAUGACCGGCAGUGGCAGCCUGCAGCUCGGUUAGCUCUCCGUGUGAACCUCGGUGCCGGAGAGGUUCAGAGAACACUUGGACUGAAACCAAGAAACCAAGGAGGUUGGGGUGGGGGUGUCCACUUUUGGGCACCAAACUUGGAGACUCAUGCAGGGAAAAAUGUGAGGCCCUCCUUGAGACGCCACAGAUGCACCUGAAUGCAAUCCCUAUUAUCCAGAAGUUGAUUUUUCAAAUGGUCCUGUUUACCUUCCUCUGUUCUCUUUAAUUUGGGCCAGGGGUCAGGAGGAAGCAAGGUUGUUGCUGUGGUGAGCAUGGGUCCUUUGUUUGUGCUUCGGUCCUAGGUUAAGAGUGGAUGAGAGCAAACAACGUCUUUUCCCUUUGGUCUCCCGUUUCACUGCCCCUUUCUAAAUCCAACCCAAAGUUUGCACGUAGCCCAAAGGAGAACCUUCAGCGUAAUAACUAAUCCUGGCAGCACUUUGUAAACUGCUGGUUUCAAAUGACUAGGCCUGCACAUUUCCACCGACUCCAGCAAUUAAAGAGUCUCCGGGGACCUAGGCAGUGCUGAUGCCAGUGGUGGGUAUUGCUGUUGAAAAAAAAAAAAAAAAAAAAAAACGGGGAAGAGCCGCUUUCUGAAAAUAGACUGCAGGUAUGGGAUAGCUCAUUUCCCGGCUCAAUAAGGAGGUCGCCCGUCCUAGGGGGAGUCAGGUAGAGUGCUUACUGGCUUGAUUUUUUUUUUCCACCAGUAAAAUGUACCCACUUGGUCCUACCCAUUUCACAGGGUUGGCGGGAUGGGCAGAAUGAGGUCAUGGAGCAGCACGUACCCAAGGAGGUCUAGAUGUUCAUGCUGAGAGCAGAAGCCCUCCCCACCCACUCUGUGGAGAUUUGGUGGCAUUGAUAGCCUCUGUCACUUUUGCACACCACAGGGUCUCUCUAGAGAGCUGACGAAAGUCUAUCUUCUUCCCACUCCAUUGUCCCCUUUGGCUUGUCCUGUAUGAUGUACAGUUGUAGAAAGAUGGUCUGGAUUGGCCUUUACCUAUUAUACCUCUGUUGCUGCAGCAGCCUUGGGAAGAGGAAGCUGGCUGGUCCCUUUCAGACGGACUGCUUUAAGGCCGCUUUGCAAAGUUCAGAAUCCUCCUUGGCUCUUCUGCAGAGUGUCACCAUGAGGCCAAUAGAAGAAUAUGAUGCCUAGCAGACUGCAGAUUCUGUGCAAUGGGAUUGAACCUGAAGGGUUUAAAUCAAACCCGAGAAAAACAUCAAGCUUAAACAUGGCAAAUACGAGGUGGGGGUGGGGUGGGGAGGACACAGUCAUGUCAACAUUUUUUAAAGAGGGUGCGGCCUCUUCAGAUUCCAUAUUCCCAAUAUAGUGAGUCACAGCUACGAUCACCCCCAUUGAUUCUUGGGUGUCUCCCUUGUCCCAGGCCAUGUCUCGUCCUGAAGAUGCCCACCACUUCCUUACCACAUCAGUUGCAGAUUUCCAUUCAGUUUCAUGGUUAUCUAGCUAUUUUUCAUGUCUUUCCUGACACCUGAUCCUGAAUCCCCCAUCUCCCUCUCUCCAGCUCCCUCCCUCCAUCUGCCUCUUAGGGCUAUUUUAUUUCCCCUUCUAAAUGAAAUUCAGGCUUCCUCAGUUGGGCCUUCUUGUUUAGGACCAGCAGAGAAGGGGUUGGGGGGAAGGAUUGUAGGAUGGGGUUGACCAGGAGGGGGCAGUGAAUGGGAUGUAAAAAUAAAAUUAAAUUAAAAAAAAAAAAGAGGGUGAGUCACUUGAGGAAAUUAAAUGUUCUUAUUUAUGAUUUGAAAAACAACUGCCAACACAAUAAGGGUAGAAAUCCCUAACUCUGAGACUGUGACCCUUUGGGGUUUUAUGGUGUGAGGUUUCCACAGCAUCUUCCACUGACGUCUGGACGGUGGGAUUACCCACCUCACCUCAUUCCACCUCGUGUUGCUGAUGCAGAUGCUGAUGCGGUGAGAUUAAAGCUCGUCCCGAGGAAGAAGAAGUGGGAAUUAGAAGCAUUUGAAUCGAGCUGGAACUAGCCCUGGAGGUGGAUGAUAAAAUUACUUACUAAAAAGUUAAGAGAAA